GAGACCUAGCUGGGCUUGGGGCGGGGCCGAGACGGAGCGAGGGGUCCAGGGUGUGGGAAACGGGGAGGGGUUUGAGGAGGGGAUCGGAAUGUGGCUCAAGUUCGGGAGGCGUUACCUGCGGAGGGUUUGAGGCAGGCCCAAGAGCGAGCCCAUGGUCUUCCGACGCGGGGCCAGGGGCGGGCCCCAGGAUCCGGAGCUUCGUGCGGGGCCGAGUCCAGGUUUGGGGCCCGGGAGGCGGGGCCAGUUAGGGCGACUGUCCCUGGGAUCGUCGGGUCAGGCCUUGGGCUAACGUAGGCACUCUCGCAGUUCCUCCGCCUUCAGGAAGGUCUUUUCAGCAGGGGCCUUACGGGUGCAUGCUUCGGUCCUGGAGGCCUUAUCCUAGCCUCCUCUCCAUCAGCGCCACCCGUCUGGGGCCCGAAAGGAGGGAGCUUUCCCUCUGUCCCCCAGCCUUUGGACUGUCACCAAACAAGCCAUUCGUUCAUCAAAUACUUUUUAAGCGCCUACCAUGUGCCUGACAAGGGAGAUGUAACGGUGAGAAAAACUAGGUGUGGUCCAGGCCCUUCAGGGGCUCAGGUGCUCGUGGAAGAAGUGGACAUUGAAGUACUUAUCACACAAAUGAGGAUAAAAGUACGAUAGCGAUAUCUACCACGAAGCUGUUGUUCCCCACCAGAACCAAAUGAGCGCAAGAUCUGACAAAGAAAAAAAAAGGUUCAUCUUUUAUUCCUCCAAACACUUUCAUUUAAAUCAAGAGGAUGGGAUGUGGUUAUUGCUGUGUUUUUAGACAGAAUCAACGGUUUCUGGGUCUGAGAUGUUGCAUACACCUUCUCAGUCCCUGUAUCCUGAGAUGGAGUCACCUGAGAAUCCACAGCAAGUCCUAACCAGGGAUGGGUCUGGGUGAUUAAGGAAGGUUGGCUUCAGAACUGGGCCAGGGGCACUGCUUUGCUUUUGCUGUUUUGAUCAGCUCUCUGCCUGAAGGAGACAAGAAAAACCAACGGGAACAGCCCAGUAAAGGCGCCAUUCCCCAUUUUACAGCUGGGGAAACUGAGUUACAGAGCUUGUCUGCACUGAGUCAUCAGGAGCAAAUGCUAGAUCAGAUAGGGUCUCUCUCUCUGCCACCCAGGCCAGAGUGCAGUUGACGCAGGGCAGGGGAGCCCCGAAGUGGAGCAUAGUGUGUCCGGAACUGGUGGGUUCUUGGUCUCACUGACUUCAAGAAAGAAGCCGCGGACCCUCGCGAAACUCCUGGAGGGCAGAGGCAUGCCUGCCAUCUUCAUCAUUGCAUUACCACCACCCAACACUAUCGGGGGACCUGCCCUGAUAAUCAGAGUCUUCCUCUGUCGCCUAGGCUGGAGGGCAGUGGCAUGAUCUCAGCUCACUGAAACCUCCACCUCCCGGGUUCAAGCGAUUCCCCUGCCUCAGCCUCCUGAGUAGUGUGGGACUACAGGCGUAUUCACCAUGCCCGGCUAAUUUUUUUUAUUUUAGUAGAAACGGGGUUUCACCAUGUUGGCCAGGAUGGUCUCAAUCUCCUGACCUCGUGACUCGCUCGCCUCAGCCUCUGAAAGUGCUGGGAUUACAGGUGUGAGCCACUGCGCCUGGCCUAUAUGAAUUUUAUAUUUACCUGCUCCCUUCACCAGGAGAUCAUGCUGCUGUGAUGUCGAGUUUUCUUAACAGCAUAAGGAAGACUUGCCCUCUUGCCCUAUCAAAGAGAAUAGUUUUGGAGGGGAGAAGUGGGACCAAAAAAGAUGCAGUUUUCAUUUGUAUUGGGAAAUGUGAAAAUAAAAUUGACAACUCUUUUAGUUAAAAACAAAAAAAAGAAAAGGAAACAAGAUGUGGGGCUGCCAUAUGUAAUACCGUGGAUUCCACGGAUCUUCUACUCUGGAGGCAAAUAUUAUCUUUGCUGAAGCCAGACCAACCUGACACAAAGACCUUUUGUUUUUUUAAUGUGACUGUGUUUUAUUUUAGAAUGUGUAAUUCACUUUAGAAGGGCAAAGUACCUGUCUGGGGAAGACUAUUUAAUUUCCUGCAUUUAUUUAGAAUGUUGGCUGAUGUUAUUAUGAAGGGAAACAGCUCUAACAACUGAGUGCCCCCCACAUAGCCACAGCUCAUGAGUUCACGGGGCAAAGGAAAUGAACAGCAGCCUCCUAAUAGCCAGCCUUCUUUGUGAUGUGGAAAUAAUUAUCAGCAUGUAAAAGACUAUAUAUAUAUUCAACAAUUCUGAUCCCCUGAAAAAUUCAAAUCUACAACUGAUUUGCUUCCUGGGCUCCUGAAAACAACUUUGUCAAAAUUGUUCAGAAAUAUAAUCAGCCAAUCGUUGCCCCUUGGGGACGCAGGAUAAAGCAAGUCAGCCAUGACCAAUGAGGAGUCGGCCGUGCACAAUUACAUGCAGACCUGCAGGACAUCGAGUCCCUGCUAUGGUCCCUCCCCAGUCAGACCCCCAUUGCCUGGGCUGCAGCCAGAAGCAUUCAGGCACAAGUGCAUUCAACAAAUACUUAUUUAAUUGUAUUGGUGGUUAGAGGGUUGCGAUUGAUUAAGGCACAUUAAUGGAUCCGUGUCCUCCCUGUAUCCAAGAUUCUGCCAUUUGUCUCUGCAGUUCCUCCCACUGAAGAAUCGGAGUAUAUUUCUCCAGUCCCUAAUGUUGGGUUUAGUCAUGUGUCUAGCUUUGGCCACUGGAAUAUUAAUCUGUAUGACCAAAAACUUGGAAAGUGUGAAUUCAUUUCUGCUCACUCACUCCUGCUAUCACCAUGAGAACAAGCCCAGGCCAGACUGCUGCUUCCAGCAGAAGAGACAGCAAGAGCAACGUCGAGCUUCCCAGACAUGCUCAUGCUAGAUUGACCAAUCCUCAGCUGACCCAUAGAUCCAUGAAAAUAAACGAUUGUUGUAUUAAGCCACUGAGAUUUGGAGUGACUUGUUAUGCAGCAUUUUGUGACAACAACUAACUGACACAAGAGUCACCGUCCUUUAUCUCUGUAGAUUUUAACCAAUUUUAAUAGCUAGAUGGAGAUCUUCUAGUUGCCUUUAUUUAUAAUGAAUAUGACUGUAGAGCUAGUUUGGCCUGACACUACCAGUAACCUACCCAGAAAUUCAGAAAUACUUUCUUCUCCAACCCGCCCAAACCAACUUUUUGUUUGUUUGUUUUUGGGUUCUCCCUCUUUGCCUAGGCUAGAGUACAAAUGGUACAGUCAGAGCUCACUGUAGCCUCAAAAUACUGGGCUCAAGUGAUCUUCCCCUUCAGCCUCCUAUGUAGCUAAGACUACAGACAUGUGCCACCAUGCCUGGCUAAUUUUUUUAUUCUUUGCAGACAGAGGGUCUCACUAUAUUGCCCAAGUUGGUUUCAAACUCCUGGCUUCAAGCAGUCCUCCUGCCUCACCCUUCCAAAGUGCUAGGAUUAUAGGCAUGAGCCACCACACCCAGCCUCUUCUUCUUUUUAAAUAGAAACCUUAUUUUAUUCUGACAGUGGGUUGCUUUUUUUUUUUUUUUUUAAAGAAAAAGUUGGCCCAGCCCCAGGGAAUAAAUUUUGACUGCUCUAAACAACCAUAGACCAAGGGCCAAAUCUGGCCCUCUGACUGUAUAAAUUAAGUUUUACUGGAAUAAAACCAGGUCCAUUGAUUUAUCCAUUGUCUACAUACGCUUUUAGGCUACGAUGGCACCACUGUGUCACUACAAAAGAGGUUAUCUAGACAAAAAGCCUAAAAUAUUACCGUUUGCCUCUUUAUGGAAAAAGUUUGCCAUUCCCUAGUCUAAGGUUUAGAUUCUGAGCUUAUCAUGUUAUCCUACCCCCCCUCACCAGUGACUGGCUCAAAACAAGUCUGUGAUUCCAUUCUGACUGUUCUACUGAGGGAAUUCCGCCUUCUUCUCAUGCAGAGCUGAUGAGGGUAAGUUGUAUUAAUAGGACAUAUGCUCAGGUUUUCUGAAAAAUACUUUUAUCUAGAAAUGCAUAGGAAUAUGCUGGUGCCUGAAUGUACCAUCCGGGGACCUGGAGAUUGACUCACCUGCCUCCAGAGCUGGUGCUCACACUUACUACUGAGAGGCCUGAGGAAACGCCUGCCUACCCACCACCAGAACCUGUAUAGGUCACCUGGAGAACUAGAGAUCAGCCUGCCACACACACCACCCAGGAGCCCAGUGGUGCACCUGCCCAUCUGGCCCACUGCCAGCAACCAAAGAAGCCACCUGGAGUCCCAGGGAUUGGCCCACACAGACAGGCUAUCAUCAGUGCCCACAAACGCUGCCCAUGGUCCCUAGUAUUGACACACCUGGUCCACCGCCACUACCACUGAUGCUGAAGGACAAGACUUCCUGGCAUCCCCAUCCUCAGCAAAGCCUCACCAAAGCCUCCAAUAACAACUGCAGUCUGGCCAAGUGUGGUGGCUCACGCCUGUAAUCCCAGCACUUUGAGAUGCCGAGGCGUGUAGAUCACGAGGUCAGGAGUUCGAGAGCAGCCUGGCCAACAUGGUGAAACCCCGUCUCUACUAAAAAUACAAAAUUUAGCUGGGCAUGGUUGCACGUGCCUAUAGUCCCAGCUACUCAGGAGGCUGAGGCAGGAGAAUUGGUUGAACACGGGAGGCAGAGGAUACAGUGAGCUGAGAUUGUGCCACUGCACUCCAGCCUGGUGACAGAGCUAGACUCCAUCUCAACAACCACCAAAAAAAACCACUGCAGUCUAAGCCACUGAAUGACUCACAGGCACCACCCAUGCCAAUUACAGCUGAAGGAAUCAUAUGCAAACUAUACUACUGUACCCACCCAGAAUCAAAGCCAAAGUGUGAUAUCCAAUGAACACUGUAGAUACAGCUGUAAGAAAAGGUCUUUCCCAUAUAAAAGCCAAUCCAUAAAAUUGGAAGAAAUGACUGUUAUGUCAGAGGCACAGAUAGUCACAUAAGGAUGCAAGAAAUAUGAAAAAGGAAACAUAACAUCUCAAAGAAGCACAAUAAUUCUCCAGCAACAGAUCCAAUGAAAAGAAAAUCUAUGAAAUACCUGAAAAAAAUUCAGAAUGAUGUUAUUAAAGAAACUCAGGGAGAUACAAGAGAACACAGAUAAUGAAUACAAAAAAAAAAAACAAAAACAGGAAAACUAUUCAUGAUCUGAAUGACAAAUUCAACAGAGAUAGACAGCAUAACAAAGAACCAAACACAAAUCCUGGAAGAGAAUAAAUCAUUGAAAUAAAUACAAAAGAUAAUUGACAGCUUUAACAAUAGACUAGAUCAAGCAAAACAAAGAAUUUCUGAACCUGAAGACUAGUCUUUUAAAAUAAUCCAGUCAGACAAAAAGAAAGAAAAAAGAAUGAAGCAAGGCUACAUGACAUAUGGGACACAUAUGUGACCAAAAACUGAAAUUCUGGGAGUUCUGGAUGGAGAUGAGAUGGGUAAAGGCAUAGAAAACCUAUUUAAUGAACUAAUAACUGAAAACUUCCUGAAUGCUUCCAAAUGCAGGAAGCUCAAAGAUUACCAAGUAAAUACAACUCAAAAUGGUCUUCUCCAAGGCACAAUAUGGUAAAAUUGUCAAAAGACAAAGAGAAAAUGCUAAAAACAGCAAGAGAAAGGCAUCAAGUCACUUAUAAGAGAAUCUCCAUCAGGCUAACGGGGAAUUUCUCAGCAGAAACCUUACUGGCUAGGAGAAAAGGGGAUGUAUAUUACAAGUACAAAAAAAAAAAAUAAUAAAAAAAUGUAAGCCAAAAAUACUCUACCCAGCAAAGCUAUCCUUCACAAAUGAAGGAGCCUGGCACAGUGGCUCACAUCUGCAAUUCCAGAGACUCAAGGCUGAGGCAGGAGGACCAUUUGAUCCCAGGAGUUCAAGGCUGCAGUGAGCUAUGAUCAUGCCACUGUACUCCAGCCUGGGUGACAGAGUGAGACUCCAUUGCUAAAAAAAAAAAUAGUAAUAAUAAAAGGGAAAAAAGUAUUUCCCAGAUAAGCAAAAGACUGUUUGUUUGUGUCUUGUUUGUUGUGGUCCUAUAAGAAAUGUUUAAGGGAGUCCUACAUUGGGAAGUGAAAGAACAAUAUCUACCAUCAUGAAAAUACAUGAAAGUAUAAAACUCACUGGUAGUUCAGACACACAAAGAAGAAAGGAUUCAAACAUCACCACUAAAGAAAACCACCAAACUGCAACCAUAAAUAAUGAGAGAAAAAAGGAACAAAGGUGUAUUAGUCUGUUUUCACACUGCUGAUAAAGACAUACCUGACUGAGACUGAGCAAUUUACAAAAGAAAGAGGUUUAAUGGACUUACACUUCCACAUAGCUGAGGAAGCCUAAGAAUCACGUUGGAAGGCAAGAAGAAGCAAGUCAUGUCUCACAUGGAUGGCAGCAAUCAAAGAUAGAGCUUCUGCAGAGAAACUACCCUUUUCAAAACCAUCAGACCUUGUGAGACUUAUUCACUAUCAUGAGAACAGCAUGGGAAAGACCUGCCCCCAUGACUCAAUUACUUCCCACCAGGUCCCUCCCACAACAUGUGGGAAUUCAAGAUGAGACUUGGGUGGGGACACAACCAAACCAUAUCAUUCUGCCCCUGGCCCUUCCCAAAUCUCAUAUCCUCACAUUUUGAAACCAAUCAUGCCUUCCCAACAGUCCCCCAAAGUCUUAACUAAGUUCAGCAUUAACUCAAAAGUCCACAGUCCAAAGUCUCAUUUGAGACAAGGCAAAUCCCUUCUGCCUAUGAGCAUGUAAAAUCAAAAACUAGUUAGUUACUUCCUAGAUACAAUGUGGGUAUAGGCAUUGGGUAAAUACAGUCAUUCCAAAUGGCAGAAAAUUGCCAAACAAAGGGGCUACAGGACCCAUGCAAGCCCAAAAUCCAGUGGGGCAGUGAAAUCUCAAAGCUCCAAAAUGAUCUCCUUUGACUCCAUGUCUGACAUGCAGGUCAUACUGAUGUAUGACCAUGGCCUUGGGAGAAAAAAGGCCACAGCUCCACUCCUGUGGCUUUGUAUGGUUUAACCCCCCUCCUGGCUCCUUUCACGGGUUGGCAUUGAGUGUCUGCAGCUUUUCCAGGCACACAGUGCAAGCUGUCAGUGAAUCCACCAUUCUGGGGUCUGGAGGAUGGUGGCCCUCUUCUCAAAGCUCCACUAGGUGGCG
rnacentral:lncRNA from 1 species